UGAGAUCUGUAGAGCCUACUUUGACUUUGUUAAGACUUAAUCUAAGCAAAGCCAAAGUUCGCUCUGUAGAUGUCAGCCUUAGAUAAGCAUUUAAUAGAUACAAUUUUAUGAUAAGCUUUCGAUUUAGACAAUCAUUCAUAACCUUUGCGCCUUUUCAAAUCACAGGUAGUCAAAAAUUGAUUAAACAUUUAAAAUACUGAUGGUAAGUAAUAAUUUAUCUACUGUUUAGUUUUCUCUACCAAAAACUAAAAGUAUAUAAGAUAAUAAACACAUCGAAUUAUUAUUAUAGAAAUAAUUAAACUAACAUCUAUCCAUUUCGAAAUGAUCUUGGACACAAUAUCAAUACAUGCUUGUUUUGCCUGCACACCACUGAUUUGGUUAGAAUAUUAUUAAAAUAAUUAUUCUUCCAUUUUCCUAACCUAAUAGGUUAAAUAAAUAUUAUCGAAAUGCACAAUCGAAGAACUAACGAUUGUAGGAAAGGAUUUGUUAGGCACAUCAUGUCUUAACCCUAGCCAGUAGGUAAUGUGAUGCCUAGUUACCGUAACCUUAAAUUAAUUACAACUAUCUCACUCUCGCUUCAUACAAUAUUUCUUUGAUCAUUUGCUGUGCAUUUACGAAUCAGUCUUCUAUAUAAAUUAUAUUUGACGAUCAAUGUAGGAACAUUGUCAGAACCAGAAUGUCAAACCAGAAAGGUAGUUUUUGGUUUUGGGAGACAAAA